rnacentral:rRNA from 1 species
UUGAGACAGAGACACCCCCGGGAAACUGGGGCUAAUAUCUGAUAGGCGAAGAACUCUGGAAUGAGUCUUCACUCAAAGGGUGCUUAGAUCAUGCUUCUAAGUGUUGCUCAAGGAUGGGGCCGCGACCGAUCAGGUUGUUGGUGAGGUAAUGGCUCACCAAGCCUUUUACCGGUGCGGGCCGUGAGAGCGGGAGCCCGGAGAUGGGCACUGAGACAAGGGCCCAGGCCCUACGGGGCGCAGCAGUCGCGAAAACUUUGCAAUACACGAAAGUGUGACAGGGUCAUCCCGAGUGCCGUCCGCUGAGGAUGGCUUUUAUCCAGUCUAGAAAGCUGGAGGAAUAAGGAGAGGGCAAGUCUGGUGUCAGCCGCCGCGGUAAUACCAGCUCUCCGAGUGGUGUGGAUGUUUAUUGGGCCUAAAGCAUCCGUAGCUGGCUGGGCAAGUCCCCUGUUAAAUCCACCGAUUUAAUCGUUGGUUUGCGGGGGAUACUGCUCGGCUAGGGGACGAGAGAGGCCGACGGUAUUUCCGGGGUAGGGGUGAAAUCCUAUAAUCCCGGGAAGACCACCAGUGGCGAAGGCUGUCGGCUAGAACGCGCCCGACGGUGAGGGAUGAAAGCUGGGGGAGCGAACCGGAUUAGAUACCCGGGUAGUCCCAGCUGUAAACGAUGCAGGCUAGGUGUUUGGGCGGCCACGUGCCGCUCUAGUGCCGCAGGGAAGCUGUUAAGCCUGCCGCCUGGGGAGUACGGCCGCAAGGCUGAAACUUAAAGGAAUUGGCGGGGGAGCACCACAAGGGGUGAAGCUUGCGGUUUAAUUGGAGUCAACGCCGGA